AUUUUUUGGCGUACCAAAUGAAAAUUACCUUGUCGGCUUGUCCUUUUAAUUUAAUUUCUUCCAACUACUACCGUGUUGUGAUGCAGAUGUAAACAUUUAUUUUAUUAUUUAAAAUCUAAAUCUUAACCGCCGUUUUGGGAAGAAAUAAUCCUACCAGGGGACCUAGGCAGAUCUCCAGCCAGCAACACCAUCUCUAGUACGAGACCAGCCAACCAGCUGCCACCAGAGACGACAGAAGCCUCAUUGCUGCUGAGUCUGUGGUGCAAGAUAAUAUUUCGACAACUUGGUGUUGGGUAAGCCAUUUUCCUGCACAUCAUCGGUUGUAGAAGAAGUGCGGUCUGAACGGACGGAACUCACCGAGGUGCAGCGCGUGCGACUGGAUGGCGUAGCUGAACCUCCCCUCCGUGGUCGCCAGGGAGUGGUUCAGGAAGUCUGCGUAGUCGAGGGGACUGAAGGGCACCGCGGGGCUCUCGGCCAGCCUCACCAGCAGCACCCCCCACAGCUGCGUCACGGCCUUGAGGUACCGCAGCUCUGGAUCCGCUAAGUCACCGGGCUGCAGCAACAUCGUGUCGGUUAGCUUACGGUUCAUGCGAACACCCUCACAACAAAAAAACUAAAAUAAUUAUUGGCAGGGGCGCAACAACAGGGGGGGGGGGGCAAGGGUAUUUUGCCCCCCCUCUGAAACCUUGAAGUGGGGGCAAAGAAAUUGCUAUGUAAUCAAUUUUUAGAUAAUAAAACUGCUUAAAUAGCACCAUUUUUCACCUUGAAAUACAAACUUUCCCGGGGGAGGACCCCCGGUCCCCCCGCUUCAAUAGAGGGGAUCGAUGAUUCUUUAUAGAAAGGUAUAUUGGCCCCCCCUUUGGAAAUUUAGUUGUUGCGCCCCUGAUUAUUGGGGAUGGAAUGGUCAAAGCCUCAAAUCCUCAAUAUAAUUUCAUCUAAAAAAAAAUGUUUUUAAGAUUUGAGAUUCUGGGGAAAAAAAUUCUAAGAAAAAUAAUGAAGGUAAAUGAAGUAAAUUAAAAAAUUCAACACUCUGAAGUUUACAAUAUUGAAUUGUAUUUUUCUUCAUAUCUACAUAUCUUAUUCCCUGAGACAGUGUAUUUUAAUGUCAUUAUUUACAAAAAAAUCACAAUAAUUAUUGAUUCAGGAAACUAAAUUCAUGAAAUCAAUGUUUCAACACAAUAAAUAUUUAUUUAUUUUAAUUUAUUUUAGUUUUCAAUCUUAAGUCCUAUAUUCUAAUUCAAGGGAUAGAUCUGAGGUUCUCUUUAUGAUUCAAAUUCAAGAUUAUUUUUUUGAGAAAAUUGGUAAAAUGGCUAACCCAGAAAGAUAUUUAAAAAAAAAAUAGUAAAUAUAAUUAUAGUACUUAUUAAAAUACAACCAUGCAAAAGAUAACUUACCUGAGAUUUUGAAUUGGUAAAAGAGAAAUCAAUACCAGGAAUGCCUUCAUUAUGUAUCAUUGUAUGCAUGAAGUCAUCACUGUCUGGCAAACUGCAACAUACAUUCCACUAUUUCAGUAACCAGUAAAUAUUAAAACCACAAUAUGAUCAAGAUACAGGCCAAUAUCAAUUUUAAAGAAAACUAUGUAAGUCGAGGUGUAGAAAGUAAUUUUUUUGAGAAUAGGCCAUUUUAUGUUAAGCAAGAAACCUGGACUAUGUGCAUUUUUCUGUGUGCGUCUUGAGUGUACGUGUCGGCGCCAAUAAAGCUCAAUAUUCACCAGA